GUGCUUGCUUCAGGCAGUACAUAUACUAAAAUUGGAACGAUACAAAGAAGAUUAGCAUGGCCCCUGAACAAGGAUGACAUGCAAAUUCAGGAAGUGUUCCAUAUUUUU
rnacentral:snRNA from 1 species